AUUAACAAAUGGUAUACAGGAAAAUGACCUAUGACUUGACAGACAAUGUGGCUAGUUCUGUCUGUCAUUUCCGUAGGCCAAUAUUCUGUAUAUCUCUGCUGCUUC
rnacentral:pre_miRNA from 12 species